CCGCUCGUUGCAGCCGCGCGCUCAGGCGCCUUUUUCACAAGACGCGCGGUGAGCGCCCUCCCCACCUCCCGCGCUGGGACUCGUCCCCGGAUUCACCAACCGACCCGGUUCUCUUGGCUGCUGUUUGUGGUGGCGAGGCUCGGCACGAGAGCCCAGCCCAGGGGUGGGAGGAAGCUCGAGGUUCUGGGUGUUAAUUACGUAACUGUCCAAACCGGUGAGUGCCGAGCCGGACCGCCCUCGCUCCUGGCUGCGAAGUCCGGCUCCGGAGUCUCGCUGUUUAAUGAUUGUCUAACACAUGCCCGGCGCUCACCCAGGAGGUUGUUGCGAGGGUCCUUAUUCAACCAUUGUCCGUUUUCUAUAAACCGACUAUCAGUACUGCCUACUGAACACAGUUGUGAGGACUCCGUGAGAGGGUUGACUGGAUAGAGCCAACAACUGCUGGGCACCUGUACAGAAAAGAAAAAGCGGGGGAUUGCAGAACCAUGGUGAUGAAAAGUGGAUACUGAUAUAAGAAAGAAGUAGGUAUCACCGCAUGUCCCAAGGACCAUUGGCAGGUUUGAUGAUUUGCUGAGAAGACUCAAGGGACUCAACAUAUAGUUGUAUUGACAGCUAUAAUUUAUUACAGCAAAAGGAUAUUAAGCAAAAUGAGUAAAGGGAAAAAGAGCAUGUGGGAUAUCUGGGGGAACUGGGUAAAACUUCCAAGGGUCCUUUACCUGUGAAAUAAAAUCAAACAGGACAUGCUUAAUUCUUCUGACAAUUCUCACCACGUGUGAAAUGCCACCAACCAGAUAAGCUCAUUAGAGACUCAGUGUCCAGGGUUUUUAUUGAGGGCUGAUCAUAUAAGCAUUCUCUGUCAUGUACUCAAAUUCCAGACUCAAUGAAAAUUGAUGCUCAGCAUAAACCAUAUUGCUUGUACAGUUUAAGAACAGCAAGUCUUAUCAGUUCUGGAAAUGGUGAAAACUUACCCGAAAUACAGGUCUCCAAAUGCCAGCCAAAGGCCAAACUUGUAAGCAAGCCUUUCAAAGACUAGCAGGCAGGCCUGACUUUUCUGCACACUCCCCUCCUGCUGAGGGAACAAGGAGGAAUUUGGGGUUAUCAGAACUUAGAAACUUAGUCCCAAAAUGCUGCGACCUAGAUCUCUGAGUGGAGGCCACUGCUUGGCUGGUGCCAGUGUCUAAGAAGCAUAGAGGUAACACCUCCCUACUCUCAAGCCCCACAGAGCUGGGUUUUAGGUAGCCGAGGAGGAAAUGUGGGUUGAUAUGUGUACAUCUGAGGGGUGCAAUGUAGCCCUUUUGAUCCAGUCCUUCACACACUACGAACGUAGGAAACAGGUUUAAAAAUAAGUAACUUGCACAAACUAGAAAGCAGCACAGCCCGCAAGGGAACACUUGUCUUCUGACCUUGCAUCAGAAUGCUGCUUUGUACUCUAUGACUUCUUGAAAGAGGAAGCAGCAACUUUGUAAUACUAAAAUAUUAGAACUCUAUUUUUUUUUAAACAGCUCAAUUAGAGUCAGUGAGAACUCAAAACUUGAAAUAGUGAUUCAAACCAGAAAUGUGAACAAGAGAAAAGAGGAUAAUUGACUACCCAGGAAAGGCCCACAAAGGAUAACAACAGAGUUUAGGGGCUCAUCUCAGCUUUCCAGAUUCAGACAUUUUUAGUUCAGGACAUUCAGAAUUUAUCAAGAAAAUGGGUCUCCCUGGUAACAUAACCAGCCUCUUAUCCAAUCCUAGAAUUCCUCUUUUGCAACUCCCUGCUACACACUGUGGCAUCUAGUCACAGAAUUUCUUCUACAGACACUGUAGUGUUUGUUGCCUAAACUGUCCUCUUUUCCUAGAGGGUCCUCUUUCCUAUUCGUCUAUCUCUACUCCCGUUCAUCUGGCUAAUUCCUCCUUCAUCCUAUGAAACUGAUCCAAUGUUACCCCACCCAAAAAAUCUCACCCUGGGAAUUAUAUAUAGCUAUAGAUAGCAUGGUUUGAUAUUUCUGUACAGUCCUAAAUCCCACAAAUAUAUUUAUUCUAACCACUUUGUAUUAUAAUUGUUUCUAUGUAUCUUCCUCUCAGCACUGAACUGCUAAAAAAGCUGAAAUACUAGGAUUUCUGUGGUAUUUCUAUAAUAUGUGAAAACAGGAUAUUUUACAUUAAGAUUAUUAUUUUAAAAACCUGAAAUACAGUUUCUAUUCUCCUGUCUUCUCUUUUUGGUGUGCAGUAUUAUUUCUUUAGUCAGUUUGCAUAUGGUAUGAGGUUCAGAUCUUCCAACUCUUGUGUC